rnacentral:rRNA from 1 species
GACGUAGGGCGCGAGCGUUGUCCGGAUUUAUUGGGCGUAAAGAGCUCGUAGGCGGUUGAGUAAGUCGGGUGUGAAAACUCUGGGCUUAACCCAGAGCCGCCACCCGAUACUGCUCUGACUUGAGUUCGGUAGGGGAGCAGGGAAUUCCUAGUGUAGCGGUGAAAUGCGCAGAUAUUAGGAGGAACACCGGUGGCGAAGGCGCUGCUCUGGGCCGAUACUGACGCUGAGGAGCGAAAGCGUGGGGAGCGAAC